GCUUAACACAUGCAAGUCGAACGGUGAAGUCGGAGCUUGNNCCGGAUCAGUGGCGAACGGGUGAGUAACACGUGAGUAACCUGCCCCCGACUCUGGGAUAACUGCUAGAAAUGGUAGCUAAUACCGGAUAUGACGACUGGCCGCAUGGUCUGGUCGUGGAAAGAAUUUCGGUUGGGGAUGGACUCGCGGCCUAUCAGGUUGUUGGUGAGGUAACGGCUCACCAAGCCUACGACGGGUAGCCGGCCUGAGAGGGUGACCGGCCACACUGGGACUGAGACACGGCCCAGACUCCUACGGGAGGCAGCAGUGGGGAAUAUUGCACAAUGGGCGAAAGCCUGAUGCAGCAACGCCGCGUGAGGGAUGACGGCCUUCGGGUUGUAAACCUCUUUUAGUAGGGAAGAAGCGAAAGUGACGGUACCUGCAGAAAAAGCACCGGCUAACUACGUGCCAGCAGCCGCGGUAAUACGUAGGGUGCAAGCGUUGUCCGGAAUUAUUGGGCGUAAAGAGCUCGUAGGCGGUUUGUCGCGUCUGCUGUGAAANUCCGAGGCUCAACCUCGGGUCUGCAGUGGGUACGGGCAGACUAGAGUGCGG
rnacentral:rRNA from 1 species